rnacentral:rRNA from 1 species
UAGGGAAUCUUCGGCAAUGGACGGAAGUCUGACCGAGCAACGCCGCGUGAGUGAAGAAGGUUUUCGGAUCGUAAAGCUCUGUUGUUAGAGAAGAACGUUGGCAGGAGUGGAAAAUCUACCAAGUGACGGUAACUAACCAGAAAGGGACGGCUAACUACGUGCCAGCAGCCGCGGUAAUACGUAGGUCCCGAGCGUUGUCCGGAUUUAUUGGGCGUAAAGCGAGCGCAGGCGGUUCUUUAAGUCUGAAGUUAAAGGCAGUGGCUUAACCAUUGUACGCUGUGGAAACUGGAGGACUUGAGUGCAGAAGGGGAGAGUGGAAUUCCAUGUGUAGCGGUGAAAUGCGUAGAUAUAUGGAGGAACACCGGUGGCGAAAGCGGCUCUCUGGUCUGUAACUGACGCUGAGGCUCGAAAGCGUGGGGAGCAAACAGG